rnacentral:lncRNA from 1 species
AAGCUCAGAUUCCAAUUUUUUGAUUUUUUCGACCGAGGAAUAAGCUUCGGCAGCCAUAGUUCUUGCCAUCUCUUUAGCAGCCUUGGUGUCCUCUUGGUCAAGGAACAUAGACUCGGCUGCCAGAAUUGUUGUUUUCUGCAUCAUGGCUAGCAGAGCAGUCUUCCUAUACUCGGGUGUAUGCUUUGCAAAAAGACUCGGACCAACAAUCUCU